UCUCAUCUUCUUUGACGAUGUCAGAUCUUCUAUGCCAUCGCGAUUUCUCCAUCACUACGAAUUCUUCAUCAUGAAGGAUCUGGAUGGGUAGAAAGCUCAAGACUUUGGCUGCACUUAAAGAGGAGGGGACUGUUUUAAUGGAGGGAGGAACAAUAUGAUUUGAAAAGGUCCGGUAACUCAGAGACAUUUCCGGUGUACCGAGCACUGGCAGAAGGUUAUUAAGAUAUCGGAGGUUUCAUGGUGGAUGGUUUGGGCGAAGGCGACAAAGACGUUUUUUGGCACCAGGGUCACAAGGAAAACAUAGAAGCUGCUCUUCAUGUAUUUGAAGGAAUUGAUAUGUGUAUAUGAAAAGAUAAAAUCCAGUAGGAUAUUGCUCUUUGAUUACCUCAACUUCUAAUUGGUUUGGCAAUGGAACUAUCUCCUUGUUUCUCCGUUCAUUCAUGACUCAUCUAAAGUUAGAUAAUUCAAUGAUAAAGAUGAUUGAAACUAAUGAUGCUGGAUAGCUUAAGGAAUCAAGUGGGAGAGUUUGGAGACGGGAUCUAUAUCAGGUAAUUUUCGUCAACUAUGCUGGCUUGUUCUGCACUAUUCCAAAAGAUAAGUUGUGGCGUUUCAAAUAUGAUAUACAUCACUUGCUCACAGGUUUUUUAACUUUAUUUUUUUUCAAGCUUUAGUUGCUAAGUUGCACAGGCUUACAGCUACCAGUGGUUACUUCUGAUUCAAAAACCUGGUGGACUUGGUGUACGAGAAGAAGAUUUAGCAGUGAGCAUUUGAUUGAGGUAAUCCUCUCAGAAGUAACAGAUGCAGAGUUUCUUCUCCCUGAAAUCUUUGCUUUAGAAGAAAUGAAGCAUGCCAAGUCUGAAGAUGGAAAAAUGCUUAGCAAGCCUUUUUUAGACGUCUGCAAAUAGAUAUUAUUCUACCAUCUUGUAAGAACGUUUUGUAAGAGAAAGCCUAAUUAGUUGUUUGGAACCUUAAAAGGGUGAGGUUUUACAUAAGGUGCAUUUUC
rnacentral:lncRNA from 1 species